GUCCACGCCGUAAACGAUGUCGACUAGCCGUUGGUCCCUUUAGGGAUUAGUGGCGCAGCUAACGCAUUAAGUCGACCGCCUGGGGAGUACGGCCGCAAGGUUAAACUCAAAUGAAUUGACGGGGCCCGCACAAGCGGUGGAGCAUGUGGUUUAAUUCGAUGCAACGCGAAGAACCUUACCUACCCUUGACAUCUGGAGAAUCCUUGAGAGAUCGAGGAGUGCCUUCGGGAGCUCCAAGACAGGUGCUGCAUGGCUGUCGU
rnacentral:rRNA from 1 species